rfam:Moniliophthora roreri strain MCA 2952 kmer90.96550, whole genome shotgun sequence.
ACACCGUUGGUGAAGUGGUUAUCAUGCUUGCCUUCCAUCAAGGUAGAUCUUCCAUAUGACCUAAGCAAGCGGCUCGGGUUCGAUUCCCGAACGGUGUA